UAACAGCUUUCUAAGGGGUCGUGUGACAGUUUAGUCCUGUAGUCGUGCAUGCUUUUCUCUUGUUCCUCAACUUCAUCUCUUUUCCAAGGAGUUGCGUUGGAUAUAUAAUUGCACUCACGAUCCUUGUCAAGGAUUUUAGAAGGAAAUAAAUACUUGUGGUGUGUUUUUCUUGAAUUGGGAGCUGGAUUUUUCUAAUUUCUGGAUCUUCAAGUUUUCUACUGUGGAUUUGUUUUUACAUUUAGUGGUGAAAUAAAAAAAAAAAAAAUCAAACCGGGAAAAAGUUAAGUGGUUGACGUUGGUGUUUCUCUGCUUGGAAGCAGGUUUGAAAAUACUAGAAGAGCAUCUUUCCUUGGAUUAACACUCCUUUAAAACUGUUGGAAGAUGUAGCUUCAAAAGAAAUUUGCAUCGAAUAAUACAAUUGGAAAUGGACGUGACCCCUUAUUCAGAGUUUUUGGAAAACAUGAGAAAAUUGAUUAUGAAUCAAUUAUCUGACUGUUGAAUAUUUUUCUCAAUAAAUAACUUCUAAACAACAUUUAUUAACGAUUCAUAUUAAAAUAAGUCUACUCUUAAAUAUUAAAAACAUUGAAACUGUUUUACGUUCAUCAUUUAUUGAAAGAAAGAACUGAUAUGGAAAAUAUGUCUACGAUGGGCUUGCUGCAAUGUCUAUUCAUCAUCCUCCUGAUCUCCGUCAGAAAAA